rnacentral:rRNA from 1 species
UGAGGAAUAUUGGUCAAUGGACGCAAGUCUGAACCAGCCAUGCCGCGUGCAGGAAGACGGCUCUAUGAGUUGUAAACUGCUUUUGUACUAGGGUAAACGCUUCUACGUGUAGGAGCCUGAAAGUAUAGUACGAAUAAGGAUCGGCUAACUCCGUGCCAGCAGCCGCGGUAAUACGGAGGAUCCAAGCGUUAUCCGGAUUUAUUGGGUUUAAAGGGUGCGUAGGCGGUUUGAUAAGUUAGAGGUGAAAUACCGGGGCUCAACUCCGGAACUGCCUCUAAUACUGUUGAACUAGAGAGUAGUUGC